rnacentral:lncRNA from 1 species
AUGAAGCAUUUGAGAUUGGUGAAACUGCUUUCACUGAUGGAGGUGGACCUGGAGAAGGGCAAAACUCUCAUUGAAGGCUUUAAGGGAUUGACUCAUCUGUCUCAUUGCUGAAUCAAUCUUAUCCCUUUUCCCCCCAACAAAAUUCAAUUAACUUUUAUCAAUUUUUAGACCCAUUUAGGUUAUUCAGUAAAGUUACUUUGAUAGUAUUAAUAUUUGUAUUUCAGCCUUUUUUGCUGGGAAUUUAAAAUACUGCUUCUUCAUCAUCAAUCAGUCAAAGUCCAAUGUAGUUUGUAAUUUUCUAUUUCACUUUAAGAGAUACUUUGUUAAUUGGAACUCUUGUUGACUGAAGAAUUUUAAGUACUAGCUGAAGUUUAUAUUUGGAUUAUGAAUUGCCUCAGGAAAAGGUGAGGUAUUCUAUAUAAUUUAAUAACAGCGUAUUUUUUGACCUAAUGGGAACUUAUUUAACAAAAUAUUUUAGAAUUGUAAUACUGCUAGAUAAAUUACAAUCUGCUAGUUUAACCCAAGAAGAAAGGAGUUUCUCUGAACAAUGUUGCCAGAAGAGUUACUAGAGGAUUUAUAGCUUUGGCAAAAGAAUCUAAUUCUCAUCUGAGAAGCUAUGUUAGAGAGGAUGGCUAAAAAUAAAACAGGAUUAACUUGUAGACAGGAAAUUUCUUGACUGCCCUAAAAAAUCAAAAAGAUUUUCAAUCCUUCAAGAACUUCCAGAACUGUUCUUAACAUGAUAGCAAAGAUCUAGCCAUCAAAACUGAAAAAUAGGAACUUAGUCUUGACAAGCCAAUCAAGGUCAUGCAAAUGUGUUUUGCAAGUGAUCCAUGAAAAAUACAGACAGAAGGACUUGGAAGAUGAAGAAUGAGACUGCCUGGGCUAAUUACUUAGCCAAUGUUGCCAAUGCUGUUGUGAAAGGACAAAGUUCAGUGCAACUUACCACCCAGCUGUGUACUCAAAUUCAUGGUUAUAGGAUGAAGAUGAUGCUGAACCUUCAGCUCCAUACUGGCAAACUCAUCUACCUAUGAAAGCCCUUUAGGAGUGUGGCGGACAGAGGAGUGAACUUUUGCCUUAAACAUUUCUGGUACUAAGGUGCAAGCAAACCAUAACCCCGAACAAGCCAUCUGUCCCCGGCGGAAACAGGACUAAGCUGCUGUCACCCCCGAAAUGGUCUCCCUGCGACCAGCCAGGACACACCGAGCCUGCGCUGAACCAGACCACGAUCGGGCAGAGACUUUGGGACCUGCGCUGUAAAUUAUUGCCGUUUUUAGCACAACUUCUAUAAAACUUGCUUAGCAUGAGUAGCUAAAUUUGCUGAAGCCUUAGGCCGCACUCCCUAGUUCAGUGAGAAAGGGCCCCAGAGCUGGUGCAGGCGGGAAUGAUAAGGGAGUUACCAGCAAUUUACAUUCCUGUGCACUGCUGAAACAGUGCUAAUUGCUGGAAUUACCACCUCUUUGUCAGGACCUUGGGAGACAAUGGCGGGACCCAAGAAUGAAGACACACCUGUCAGCAGAAACGGCAACAGUAAACGGCCUACCUAGGGACAGUGAUGAGACCCAAUAAGGAGCAGGAGACCCCAGACCCAAAUAUUACUAUUGGUCUGAACUACCACGUGAGGGGUGGGAAACUUAAUUUGAAAAAGCUAUAAUUGCCCAGGGAUUUCUUUGUUUGGGGUCCCUCGUCGGAGGCACCCAGCUUGAGCUGUAAUUCCAAUGGAGUCAGCAGAACAUCAUUGGCCUCGGAGUGGUGGUAGCUAGCUUCUCUCCUUUUCCAACUUUCUCUAUCUUUUCCCCUUACCCUUGUUCUGUUCCCCUCUUCCCUUCGCCUCCCCUUCGCCUUCCCCCCCACCUUUUCUCCCCACUUCGUGGAAAAUAAAGUUAAAAGGUUGUACGAUAUUUGACCGGUU